rnacentral:lncRNA from 1 species
AGCCACUGUGCCCAGACUAAUUGUUGUUUUUUAACAAUAUAGUUUCUAUAUUGAUUUCACAAGCCUCCUUUUCCAUGUGUUGAAAUCCAUGGAUUGUAUUAGAAAGACAUUUGACCUAUUGGGGGAGAUAGAUUAUUAUUGUUUUUAAAUCAAUUAGACAUCUAGCUAGGCUGAAAACAACCACUAAAAGGUUUUCGUUUGUUUACUUGUUUUUGCCUGGCAGCCAUACCACCAAAGUACAAAGGCUUGUUUAAAAAAAAAUCUGUUUUGCCUAUCUAAACCUCUCUAAAAGGAAGGAAAUAAAAUUUUGUAACUUUCCAAGAAGUGAAAACCAAUUAACAUUUUAAAGUCACAUUACACUCAUAACCUCUAAUACAUUAUUUUCAGAAGAGCCAUUUCUGCUGAGUCAGAAUAUAAAAUAGGAUUCAAAUACCUAUUUCCUUAAUAGAUUUAAAUGACUGUGACUAACAAUCUCAAUAUUUCUUGUUUUAUGGAAAAAUUUUAGUUUCUCAAGGAUCCCAUGGGGAUUGGACAUGAUGGUGUUUAAGGGCCUCUAACGAUCCCUGCCUUGGAUAUGUGUAGUCCCCUCCCACACUGCAUCAGGAUUGGUCUGUGAAUACGGCAGAAAUGAUGGGGAAGCCAGAUGCUGUGUUGUGAGGACAGUCAGGCAGCCCCAUGGAGAGGCCCAUGUGGCAAGGCAUUGAGGACUUCUGCCAAUAGCCAUAUGAAUGACCAUCUUGGAAGUAGGUGCUCCAGCCCUGGAUAAACCUUCAGAUGACUGCAGCCCCUGCUCAGAGCUUGACUGCAACCCCAUCAGAGACCCUGAGCCUGAGACACUCAGCUAAGUCACUCGGAGGUUCCUAACCUACAGAAACUGUGUGAAAUAAUAAAUGUUUAUUGUUUUAAGCCGCCAAGGUUUUGGGGUAAUUUGUGAUGGAGUAACAGAUAACUAAUACAAAGACCCUUUCAAAAGUGAGAUUAAUUGAUUCUCUGAUUCUCAUACCACACUGGUAAUAGCUGCCAUGUGAAAUAUUCUUACUGGAAGCCAUGGGAAGUUUUAAAUCUCUCCAGAUUCCUGCACAUUGCUUGCAUUAAUUAAUACAUAUACCUGUGUAUAUCCAUAUAUACAAAGUUAAUGCAUUUUUUUCUAAACAUUUUUUGAAAUUUAUUUUCAAUUUUAAAGACAAUAUAUGCUUAUUAAAGAAAAUGUGAGGGGAACGUUAAAAAAGAUUACCCAUAGUUCUAACACCCAUAGUUCUAACAUCUAUAGUUAGCACAUUUGAGUGUACUUCUCUAUAUUUUCUUUCAGGGUGUUUAAAAAAGUACUUGUGAUCAUAUGCUGUAUAACCAUAUUUUCACCAAGUCAAAUCCACUUCCUUUAAAGGCAGAGCCCAAUAAUGUGCUUUGCUCAUCCUUGUCAUUCAGCUCCCUGCUCCGAGUGACAGGUUCUCAGAGAAAUCAGAUGCAACUAUGUCCUUAGCGUGCAGAUGGCUCAUGAGGGUGUCAUGUGUUUGGAGCCAGGCCCUGGCAGGGAGUGACCAGUGCCCGGGGUGCCAGACACAUGGAAGAUGAUUUACAUCAACAGGCAGUUCCCUCUGUGCAUAUUCUUUUUAUUUUCAGUACUAACAUCUGUGUGAAGGGCCAACCCCUGUCCCCCACUAACUUAUAUUUAUAUCCACAAAUUUCUUAUGGGAAUCAACACUCCCUUAUUCUCUGCUCUUCAUAGAGGGCUGCAAUGCUGGCAAAGUGUAGGCAUCAGGACCCUCUCCAAGGCCCUGAGAGGGGUUCUACAAAAUGUUCAGAUGGUUAUACGUUUUUGCAAAAUUUGCAAAAAUAAAAAACUUGAAUCACAAUUGGUUAAGACUGCUACAUCUUUCCACUCUGCCCCAUCCCCGAACCCAACACACAUAUACUUUCCUUUAUGCAGGGUGGUGCUGAGUGGUCAUGUGAGAGCAUUUUAUUGUUAUGAUUUUUUUUUUUUAACAGAGCCUGAAAAAUUGUGUAAGUUCCAGGACUUAAAAACCUGGAUAUACCUCUUUGUCUCUGAAUUGCAAAUAUAUACAUAAUAUAUUUUUAAUAUAAAUAUAUAUCUGUGGUAUUUAUAUAUAUAUAUUAACAGCUUUUUCAAUUGCUUUGUACUGUGAACAUAAUUUAUUAUUUGCUAGCCUUAUUUGUUAAGUCAGAGGAAAUUUCAGAGCCAUGAGGGUUACAGAAUGAGAGGAUUUCUAAUGAGCUCAAUGUGUUCUAAAUGGUUUUAUGUGAUUCCCAGGUUUGCUUCAUCAGAAUCCAUAGGUUCUCAAGUGGCGCUCCUCCUUGUGCUCGCAGAACCCCGCUUAUUGACUCUACAGAUACUUUUUGCAGAAAAUGGCUGCCUCUUUGCUGUCUACUGUGACUCUUCAACUAGGAAAGAACCAAAUAGAUUUAACCUACUCAACUCGACACUUCUGAACAAAAAAGAAUGCAGAAUAUAUAGCACCAACCAGGUGGCAGACCUGAUCUCAAUCCCAGCUUUCUCCCUGUCCACUCCUGCUUCCUCCUCCCUUUAUCCUUCACAGGCUAAGCAUUAAACAUCAAGUAAGUAAACAUCAGGUCCCAUCUAAGCAUCGGCUUCUAUGAGCAUCUGAACGGACAUACGUACUCACUGUUAAAAAUGAGCAAAUCCAGAAGGGCAUAUACGAAGAAGCCACAGUUCCUCCCCUUAUUCUCUCCUGCCCUGCAUUUCCUCACAUGAGGAAACACUUUAAACAGUUUCUCUUAUAGCUCUUUGACAGUUAGUUCCAUACUCCUAAAAUAAGUUUAUGCCAUGCUUAUUAUUUAUUUGAUAUAUAUUUUAGAUAUUUGUUAUAUACACAUAAAUAUAUGUAAUAUAUUUGUUAUCUUUUUCCAUAAUAUGUUUAUGCCAUGUCUUUCUUUUCUUUUUUAACCAUUGAAGUAUAAUGGACACAAAAUAAACUGUUUAUUUUUAAUGUGAGCAGUCUGAUGAAUUUUGACAUUUAUAUAUGCCACAAUCAAGCUAUUAAAAAGGGCAAGGGGAAACUUUUCAGGGGUGAGCAUAUUCAUCAUCCCUGAAAGUUUCCUCAUGCUCCUUUUAAUACCCCCACCACCUCUCUCCAUACUCUCUGAUCUGUUUUCUGUCACUAUAAGUUAGUUUUCAUUUUUCAAUUUUAAAUAAAUGGAAUCUUAUAGUAUGUGGUAUUGUUUUUCUGGCUUCUUUCGCUCAGCAUAAUUAAUCUGAGAUUCAACCAUGUAGUUGCAUGUACCUAAUUCAUUCUUUUUUGUUACUAAUAUAUCUCAUUGUAUAGAUACAGCAUGAUUUGUUUAUUCAUUCAUCUUUUGGUGGACAUUUGGGUUGUUUCCAGUAUGGGGCUAUCACAAAUAAAGUUGCGAUGAACAUUUUUACACAAAUGUUUGUAUAGAUUUACA